CACCUGGUCUGUCAACAGUAGAAACGUGUCGUUUUUGUACGCACCUUCUGUUGUGGACCAUGUGUCCUGCUAUCUGUCCUGUAUAACAGGAGCCAAGAGAGGCCUCGAGAUCUCAAAGGUAGGAAGUAUCAAUAUUUCUGUUCAGAAAUAGGCUGAAGCUGUAUUAAAGAAAGCAGUGUGAUCUCUACCUUUAUUGGACAGGAAAAAACCCACAAAAGACAGUUCCC
rnacentral:lncRNA from 1 species